rnacentral:rRNA from 1 species
AUGAACGCUGGCGGCGUGCCUAAUACAUGCAAGUCGAGCGAACAGACGAGGAGCUUGCUCCUCUGACGUUAGCGGCGGACGGGUGAGUAACACGUGGAUAACCUACCUAUAAGACUGGGAUAACUUCGGGAAACCGGAGCUAAUACCGGAUAAUAUAUUGAACCGCAUGGUUCAAUAGUGAAAGACGGUUUUGCUGUCACUUAUAGAUGGAUCCGCGCCGCAUUAGCUAGUUGGUAAGGUAACGGCUUACCAAGGCAACGAUGCGUAGCCGACCUGAGAGGGUGAUCGGCCACACUGGAACUGAGACACGGUCCAGACUCCUACGGGAGGCAGCAGUAGGGAAUCUUCCGCAAUGGGCGAAAACUUGACGGAGCAACGCCGCGUGAGUGAUGAAGGUCUUCGGAUCGUAAAACUCUGUUAUUAGGGAAGAACAAAUGUGUAAGUAACUAUGCACGUCUUGACGGUACCUAAUCAGAAAGCCACGGCUAACUACGUG